UGAACGCUGGCGGCAUGCUUUACACAUGCAAGUCGAACGGCAGCAUGGGUGCUUGCACCUGAUGGCGAGUGGCGAACGGGUGAGUAAUAUAUCGGAACAUGUCCGGAAGUGGGGGAUAACGUAGCGAAAGUUACGCUAAUACCGCAUAUGCCCUGAGGGGGAAAGGAGGGGAUCGUAAGACCUUUCGCUUUCGGAGUGGCCGAUAUCAGAUUAGCUAGUUGGUGAGGUAAAGGCUCACCAAGGCGACGAUCUGUAGCGGGUCUGAGAGGAUGAUCCGCCACACUGGAACUGAGACACGGUCCAGACUCCUACGGGAGGCAGCAGUGGGGAAUUUUGGACAAUGGGCGCAAGCCUGAUCCAGCCAUUCCGCGUGAGUGAAGAAGGCCUUCGGGUUGUAAAGCUCUUUCGGCAGGGAAGAAAAGGUACUGGUUAAUAACUGGUACUGCUGACGGUACCUGAAGAAGAAGCACCGGCUAACUACGUGCCAGCAGCCGCGGUAAUACGUAGGGUGCGAGCGUUAAUCGGAAUUACUGGGCGUAAAGGGUGCGCAGGCGGCUCUGUAAGUCUGACGUGAAAUCCCCGGGCUUAACCUGGGAACUGCGUUGGAAACUGUAGAGCUAGAGUGUAGCAGAGGGGGGUAGAAUUCCACGUGUAGCAGUGAAAUGCGUAGAGAUGUGGAGGAAUACCGAUGGCGAAGGCAGCCCCCUGGGUUAACACUGACGCUCAGGCACGAAAGCGUGGGUAGCAAACAGGAUUAGAUACCCUGGUAGUCCACGCCCUAAACGAUGUCAACUAGGUGUUGGGGAAGGAGACUUCUUUAGUACCGCAGCUAACGCGUGAAGUGACCGC
rnacentral:rRNA from 1 species